GUUUGAGUCAAGUGGAAGCUUCAUUAAGUCAAGGAAGAAGAGAGACAAACUCUGGACUGGCAAAUGAAACAACAGAAACCAGAGGUCAGAGAGGUUACAUACCUUGCCCAGCACAGGAUUCAGGGGUUCAUCCUACUUCUCCAUGGACAAAUCUGAUUGACUUCCUGAUUCAACCUGUGGGAAAACUGAGGUACUAAGAGAGAAGUGACUUGCUCAAGACCACACCACUACUGAGGAGAGAGCCA